GACGAACGCUGGCGGCGUGCCUAAUACAUGCAAGUAGGACGCAGUUGCGAACGGGUGAGUAACGCGUAGGUAACUACCUAUUAGAGGGGGAUAACUAUUGGAAACGAUAGCUAAUACCGCAUACUAGUAGAUGGACCUGCGUUGUAUUAGCUAGUAGGUAGGGUAAUGGCCUACCUAGGCAACGAUACAUAGCCGACCUGGGAGGGUGAACUGCCAAAAUGGGACUGGGACACGGGCCAGGAUCCUAAGGGAGGGAGCAGUAGGGAAGCUUCGGCAAUGGGGGGAACCCUGACCGAGCAAAGCCGCGGGAGUGUAGAAGGUUUUCGGAGCUUAAAUCUCUGUUGUUAAGGAAGCGGUACUUAACCAGAAAGGGACGGCUAACUACGUGCCAGCAGCCGCGGUAAUUC
rnacentral:rRNA from 1 species